rnacentral:rRNA from 1 species
AUUGAACGCUGGCGGCAUGCUUUACACAUGCAAGUCGAACGGCAGCGGGGCUUCGGCCUGCCGGCGAGUGGCGAACGGGUGAGUAAUGCAUCGGAACGUGCCCAUGUCGUGGGGGAUAACGUAGCGAAAGCUACGCUAAUACCGCAUACGCCCUGAGGGGGAAAGCGGGGGAUUCUUCGGAACCUCGCGCGAUUGGAGCGGCCGAUGUCGGAUUAGCUAGUAGGUGAGGUAAAGGCUCACCUAGGCGACGAUCGAUAGCUGGUCUGAGAGGAUGAUCAGCCACACUGGGACUGAGACACGGCCCAGACUCCUACGGGAGGCAGCAGUGGGGAAUAUUGGACAAUGGGGGAAACCCUGAUCCAGCAAUGCCGCGUGCGUGAAGAAGGCCUUAGGGUUGUAAAGCGCUUUCACCUGUGAUGAUGAUGACAGUAGCAGGAGAAGAAGCCCCGGCUAACUCCGUGCCAGCAGCCGCGGUAAAG